ensembl:lncRNA
GCGUUCUCGACCUCGCUGCAACAAGCUGCAGUUGAGCCGUCUACGCAGGACCUGAGCGAUGCGUCCGUACAGGCCUUUGCCCUCAUGUCCAGGGAAUUGGGGCGUGUUAUGUCCACCCUGGUCCAGACUCGCCGCCAGGUUUGGUUGGCUCAGUCGCCCCUGACGGAGGCAUGCAGGAAGGCCCUCAGAGCCGUGCCAGUGGUACCGGGGGAGCUGUUUGGGUCAGCUGCCCUGGAGACGCUGGAGCGAGCUGCCCAAGCUAGGCAAACCAACCUGCAGCUGUCGGGUCUUCACAGGAGUGUGUCCGCUCCUGGCAGGCCUAGAGCCCCCCCGGCUGCCCCCCGGGGCCGCUACCAGCCACCACGCUCUUACCCAGCGCGAGAUGAGGGCCUACGUAGGUCUCGGCGGCCCGCCCAGCAGCCCGCUGAUAGCUUUCGCGCCCCCGCCCGCCCAUCGCCCGGGCAGCCUCGGGCCGCGGAGCCUCACCGGUACCCCUCCAGAGCCGAUAGAGGCCGGGGGGCCAGGCGCUAGGACCACGGGGCCGGUCGUCGGCUGUUUUUCCCAGCAGCAGAUCAGUUACUGGGCUGCCUGUACUAUAGACCCCUGGGUGGUUUCAACCUUAACCCGGGGGUACGAAUUACAGUUCCGACGCCGGCCCCAGGCCUUCGGCCGGGUCAGGAUGACAGUCGUCCGCGACCCAACGAAGGCCACAGCUCUGGCCCAGGAGCUAUCCGCCCUCCUGGCCAAGGGUGCGAUCGAGCCAGUGGACCCUCAGUUACAACCCGGGGGGUUCUACUCGGCGUACUUUCUGGUAACCAAGAAAGACGGCGGAUUCAGGCCCAUUCUAGACCUAAGGGGCCUGAACACGUUUUUAAAAGUUUUGCCAUUCCACAUGCUCACCUCGGCGGACACCCUGAGGGUAGUUGCCAGGGGGGAGUGGUUUACGACCAUAGACCUGAAGGACGCCUAUUUUCAUGUGCCGGUUGCGCCACACCACAGGCGGUUCCUGAGGUUUGCCUAUCGGGGCAGGCAUUACCAAUUCAGGGUACUUCCCUUCGGGCUUUCCCUCUCCCCGAGGGUUUUCACCAGGGUUGUGGCGGCAGCCCUCGCACCCCUGCAGACGCAGGGCAUGAAGGUCCUGCCGUAUCUGGACGACUGGCUGGUCUGUGCGCCCUCCAGGUCCCAGGUGGCCCAGGACACGGCCCGCUUGCUGUCGCACGUGACGGUGAACCAAUCAAAGAGUUGCCUGGACCCUUCCCAACGGGUUACCUAUCUGGGGUUGGUCCUGGACUCUGUCGCCAUGAAGGCCUACCUUUCACCUCGACGGGUGAACGACAUCCUCCGCCUCCUUCCCCUCUUCAGAGCCGGCAGGAGCCUGCUUUUUAUUCAGUUUCUUCAGCUUUUGGGCAAGCUGGCAGCUGCUUCAGCUGUGGUGCCUCUUGGCUUAUUGUCCCUGCGCCCACUCCAAAUGUGGCUGAACAGCCUGCACCUAGAUGCCAAGUGGCACAGGCAGAGGAGGGUCAAGGUGACCCGGCAUGCCCAUGGGCGCAAUUCCGGCACGCCGGGAGUUGGUGACAACCGACGCCUGCCUCUCGGGAUGGGGCGCAGUGUGGCAGGGCAGGACUGCGCAGGGACGGUGGUCUGGCCGGGACGUGGCACAACACAUCAAUGUGCUGGAACUCCGGGC